GAUGAACGCUGGCGGCGUGCCUAAUACAUGCAAGUCGAGCGAACGGACGCGAAGCUUGCUUCUCUGAUGUUAGCGGCGGACGGGUGAGUAACACGUGGAUAACCUACCUAUAAGACUGGGAUAACUUCGGGAAACCGGAGCUAAUACCGGAUAAUAUUUUGAACCGCAUGGUUCAAAAGUGAAAGACGGUCUUGCUGUCACUUAUAGAUGGAUCCGCGCUGCAUUAGCUAGUUGGUAAGGUAACGGCUUACCAAGGCAACGAUGCAUAGCCGACCUGAGAGGGUGAUCGGCCACACUGGAACUGAGACACGGUCCAGACUCCUACGGGAGGCAGCAGUAGGGAAUCUUCCGCAAUGGGCGAAAGCCUGACGGAGCAACGCCGCGUGAGUGAUGAAGGUCUUCGGAUCGUAAAACUCUGUUAUUAGGGAAGAACAUAUGUGUAAGUAACUGUGCACAGCUUGACGGUACCUAAUCAGAAAGCCACGGCUAACUACGUG
rnacentral:rRNA from 1 species